ACAAGAGAGUCGAGUUGCCAGGAUGGUCAGCGCAGUUACGAUCCUGUAGACACCCGGAUGUGCGGCUCUCCAGCCUCUGCUCCUGCCUCCAUUCCUACCUUCAGCGUCACCUCGGACCCAGGGCAUCCUGUCCAGGUGAGGAUAACUGCCAGGUUGUGAAGAAUUCUCACGAUGACCUUCUGUAGUGAAUGUAAGAGCCAGAAUUAGAACCAGUUCCCAGUGCCUCACCCAUGCUGGACAAGCACUCUACCACUGAUUACACAUCCAGCUCUAGUCUUCAUAUGUUAAGAAACAGCAGUGCUAUUGAGUAACAUCAUCCCUAUGACUCAUUCCCCAACUUGGCCUGCCCUAGAGGAGCACUGAUGAACAACAUGGUUGCCAAUGAAGGCAAGUUGGUUUUGAAACAGUCUCUUUAGUGAGAAGCCGUCAGCUCCCACUUAAACUAAAGCUCUGACAGUAUGCCACGGGGUGACUGGAGAGAUUCCAUGUGUGCUUGACACCUCCAGAGGUUGCACG